rnacentral:rRNA from 1 species
UACGGAGGAUCCGAGCGUUAUCCGGAUUUAUUGGGUUUAAAGGGUGCGCAGGCGGGAAAUUAAGUCGGCGGUGAAAUUUUGCGGCUCAACCGUAAAAGUGCCUUCGAAACUGGUUUCCUUGAGUGUGGAUGAAGUAGGCGGAAUUUGUAGUGUAGCGGUGAAAUGCAUAGAUAUCACGAGGAACUCCGAUUGCACAGGCAGCUUACUAAACCAUAACUGACGCUCAGGCACGAAGGCGUGGGGAUCAAACAGGAUUAGAUACCCUGGUAGUCCCUGA